UUACAUACAUUAAUGUAUGUUUAGUAAAUAGUUGAUUUGCACUUAACUUUUAUGAUAUAUUCAUACU
rnacentral:tRNA from 1 species